ACCCGCGGAGCGGCUGCCCUCAUGUGCGCCUGCACCUGCUGUUCGUCACCUGCGCCCGCCGAGGGCUGCGGGGAGGCUGCUGGGCUCUAAGAGCAGGAGGCGCUAAGAUACUGGAGAGCCUCAGCUCUCACGCGGAGCGCUGCUUGCCCCGAGCUCGCCCCCUGGAGAGCCCAGUAAAUUUAUUUCUAAUCAGACCUCGUCUGGAUGUAUCCAGGAGGGCUGUUUGACUCUCCAUGGGGAGCUUUUUGAACUUUUUGCAAAGAGCUGCAGGAGAAAGACACUCAGUGCUACUUUGAACCCUCUGCAAAUGGAAGAGCUGAAAACAAGAAAAAAGAACAGAAUAAUGGGAAACUAAUCAUAUUCAGCUGUAGAGGACUAGAAUGAAAAUUAUUCAGAGUGCAAGAAUAAGUGUGAACUGUGACUCUCCAACCCAAUGAGUACACCUUCACUAGAGCCAUGAAAGAUGCCAUCCAAUCCUUCAUGAUGCCAUUUUAUCUGAUAAAGGACUGCAAAAUCAAGCAGCCUGUAUUUGGUAUAAAUUACAGCAAAGAAUAGUGAAGGCUGAGAAGCAGGAAGUGGCUGGAAAGACUUCUUUAUAUGAGACGACCUUUACACCAAGAGGCACCAUUGAGUUGCACAAUAGAUGAUACAGGUAACAUCUCAAUCCUCCAAAGGUGAAGCCUCCAAUGGACCCUGCAGGUACUGUCAUAUGCCCAGGAGGGCUUUUGUCUUUCCCCUGCCAAGUACCAAUGGAAUGCAUGCAUGCCCAUCUGUAUGGGUACUUCCAUCCACCGCUCCAUCUGACUUCUACCCAGGACCUCCCAUGAUGAACUGAACAUGGAAUAGUUGCAACCAUGGCCACCACCCUAUUCUGGGCUCCCGAAACCUCCAGCCACCAGCCCCGACAUUCCCUCCACUCCUGCAGCUGAAGUGUUUUGGGAAUUUGUUUCCCCUCUACUUUCUCUGUCUUUUUUCUAGAGGGGCUUCUUGAACUAGAAUUGGAGAAUGUAGAUCCAUCCCAUCAUGCCAUUUGGGGGCUGCUGGGUGGCUGGAAAUAAGGGUCCUGGCCCCUGGAGCCUGGCCCUAUGUGCUAACCAUGACCUGCUACCCAGCCCCCUCUUCUCUUUAAGCUUCAUUCCUGGCUGACAAUAUGACCCUGGGAUACACUAAAAUUGACUCUCAUUUGCCCCUGUACUGGCCAUGAAAUGAGAAAAUGGCUCUUUAAGAAGAAUUCCCUAUUUAUAUAAAAAAAAUCUAGCCAAUAUAUAAAUAUGAAAUAAACUGUAGCCUUAUUUAUUUGCUGAAAAUGUGAAGCAAUAAAACUAAAUGGGGUAAAAAAAAUAAGAGUAUAUGAGUGAUUAUCCUCUUAAUAUCAAAUGUUUAAGUUUUCCUAUAAAAUACAACUUGUCGGGAUCCCUGGGUGGCGCAGCGGUUUGGCGCCUGCCUUUGGCCCAGGGCGUCAUCCUGGAGACCUGGGAUCGAAUCCCACGUCAGGCUCCCGGUGCAUGGAGCCUGCUU